UAUAUUAUGUUUCAGCUCAGCUUUUUACUUUUAUACAACAAUGCAUAUGUCAAACAUGAUUACAAGCUAUAGUCACAUAAUGACAUUGUAUUUUACUGCGCGAAAUGCGUGUUACAUACUGAACGCUUGUUUAAAUAAAGAGCAUUAUCGCGCGCAUAUCAAUAACUGAGAUACGCAUACCGAAUUCGCCAUGCAUGCAGACAGCCUUAGACUCGGUUUAGACGGCGAACUUUCUCAUGCGCCGAACCCGUAGUACAACGAUUUAUAAGUACGACAGAUCUAGAAGAGCUGCAUCUAAACUCUAAAUCAGUUGCCGAGCUUGUGCGGUUGUGCCGUAAGAAAUGAAGCGCUUGAAAAUGUCGCCGUCUGAACCGAGCCUUAUUACGGGAGUAAUGCUAAUGUCUGCAUGGCGAAUUCGGUAUGCAUAUCUUAGACUAUGUGCACACGGUAACGUUUUCGAGCGUUUUCAGCUGUAACGUUUUCAAAAAGUGUCGUUUUCAAGCCGUGUCCACACGAAAACGGAUGAAAACGUCAUCUUAUGACGAAAACGUUCUCAAUGCUAAAAACGUUUUCGGACAAGCGUUUUCACGUUGAAACGCUAAAAAUCCAAGCUGGCGGCUUAAAAUCAAAA